AUGUUUCCAAGCAUAGUGCAUGGAGGUUACUUGGUAGUGUAUCACUGGUUUAGCCCUGAGGGCUAUAUCAGAUUGAGAUGUCUGAUGUUUUAAAGGUUAAGUCUGGUAAGUUUUCAGAAAAUGUUUAAACAGCUAGUAGUCAAGUCGGAUCACGUAUGGGAUGUUUGGAGUUCAGGUUAGGCUUGCUACGGGUUCUGGCGGCCUUAAGCCGAUCUGGAUCCUAGCGCCGAGCAGUUUGGGCCAUUACAGAGAGGUA
rnacentral:lncRNA from 1 species